AGCUACAUGAAUAUAUAUUUAGUGAUUUCUGCCCGGUGAAGAUUUAACGGCCGCAGUACUUUGACUGUGCUAAGGUAGCAUAAUCAAUUGACUUUUAAUUGAAGUCUAGAAUGAAAGAAAAUUUGGGGGUAAGCUGUUUCUAAAAAAACUUUAUUAAAUUAUUUAUAAGGUGAAAAUACCUUAAUAUAAAUAAAAGACGAGAAGACCCUUAGAGUUUUUUUGUUGGGGUGACAAGUAAGCUAACCUUACUUAAAAAAAGAUUAAACUACCUAAGGGAUAACAGCAUAAUAAAAUAAUUAGAUUAUGACCUCGAUGUUGGACUAGGAAUAUAAUAACUAGAAGUUAAAUUUAUAAGUUCUGUUCGAACUUUUACUCCU
rnacentral:rRNA from 1 species